CAAAGAUUGUUACGAUUAGAAGAUCGUAACCUCGUGAAGAGUGUCAUUGGAUAUAUAAGGAACACACAACACGCGCACAGGCUCAGUUGUGCGUGAACUCUCAUACCGCGAAGAUCGAAGGCCGAAAGAUGAUCGCCAAACACGCGUUCAAGAAGCAACGUCAACGUUAAGAGUAUGUGUACAGGCGGAUUAUGGGGUCAAUUCGCUCUACUUACACUGAUUUACCGUCAUUCGAACAUCGACUCGAGGAAUGGAAGGAAUGCGCGAUGCACUGGUCGAGUUUCAGGUGUAAUAACGAUCACAGAAUGGUCUACGUCGACAAACCACCGGCUAAAAUGGCAGUAAUCGCGGCGAUGCCAAGAUUCGCAAAUAAAUGGCAGUGAAAGUGCGACGAGGCAGUGGCCGAUUGAAAAUCAACCUGUUCAUCAUCAUUCUCGACGCCUUUCGGCAUUGGCUCGUCCUUCAUGCCUGUCGUGUUCCUUUCGUGACUGUGAUCCAUCUUCCAACUCUUCUUCGAAUCUCGCCUGGUGUUCGGUCUACGCAUCGUCGGCGAUCUAUCGAUCCCUGGAAAAAUAUGAAUUUACCGUGUUAAGAGCACGUUCUUGGCUAUGACUCGGAAUUUACGGCGUGCUUGCAGCCGUACUCCGAUCAAAUGGUCGCAGCUCUCGAAGAAAUAUCACUCGGCUUGUUCGAAUCGAGUCGAGAGAUCUUGUUUCGCGAUUGGGAAACGAUUUGUACUCCGAACCUAUGAUGAAGGGUUUUGGCUGCGCUUUUACGUCGAAUCGCGAAUUCAAAUUUGCUAUGCUUUAUGGUAUGGUGGGUACUGAUGUUGUAAGGAUCUGAUUUUAAUGUAUUAUUCGUGCAUUCAAGAAUAUAUGGAUUCCACUUAGAAAGACGA